UACGGAGGAUCCGAGCGUUAUCCGGAUUUAUUGGGUUUAAAGGGUGCGUAGGCGGAAUUGUAAGUCAGUGGUGAAAGCCCUUCGCUUAACGAAGGAACUGCCAUUGAUACUGCAAAUCUUGAGUACAUUUGAUGAGGGCGGAAUGUGUCAUGUAGCGGUGAAAUGCUUAGAUAUGACACAGAACACCGAUUGCGAAGGCAGCUCUCAAAACUGUAACUGACGCUGAGGCACGAAAGCGUGGGUAUCAAAACAGG
rnacentral:rRNA from 1 species